CGGUUCCGUCGUUCUGUGGUGUGAUGGUCGACGUUCGUUUAGACUGUUCUGCUGCCAAUGGUUGGCUUUCCCGUUCUGACCACGCUAGUCCAAUGUGCGCGCAGCAAGUGCCGUAGUCGCUGCCGCUAAACUGUCGUGUUGUGAUGCUUCCCCGUUCAUUGUGCGAACGCAACGCGCUGUCACCGACGGAAUGCGCUUGCAUGACUCCGACCGGCGACUCGUACGGCAUCAGAACAUGCUAUAUGGCACUGCAUCUGUAAUACUGACAGAACAUGGACACCAGCAAGAGCCCUCCAGACGUUUUCAAAAAGAUGAUGUGUGGCAGUGGCACCUGGCAUUCCAGCUGCACGUACAGCUACCAAAUGGAACUCCGCAAGGGACAGCUGGCGGAAGCGCAACACCAGAUGGACAAGACAUCCACACAGCUGCAAGUACUGCCCAUACAGUACAGAUAAUAAGGGCCACCUGGAAAGACACGUUCGGACUCAUACGGGCGAGAAACCCUACAUUUGUCGCAUUUGCAAAAUGUCAUUUUCGGAUCCGAGUGCCUGUAGUCGUCACAUACGGUGGCACUACAAUAGAGGGCACACUGUAGGGUCUGUUGCAAGUGGCUCGUACUCUUAGCGAUGUUGUGCAGUUAAGAUGAGCACAGUCUCUCACAACUUCCGCUCGACGGUUCCCGAAUUUCAGCACCUGUCUUUAUCACACACGUCAAGAGCGGCCUCACGUGGCACUCGGUACUAAUGCCAAAAAUGUUUGAGUAACAAGUAAAAUGGAGCCCAAAUUGUGAAUUUCAGUGACACAGCAUAUCAAACUAAAUUAUAAAUUAGUUUGUGGAAAUUCUCUCGGUGGUGGAGUGCAUCAUCCCACUAUUUUUGUCAAUUGCCAUGCAUGCAGUGGUUGGACUGCUUCACAUGGGGCUCUGUUAUGCCGUCUCCUCGUCACAUGUUAUAGAUGACCGUCACCCUGCAUUUUGGGUUUCCUUCUGGGGAACAGCAGCUGUGCGUUUUAGGGACGUUUUUCUGACACUUGCAGGAAAUCGGUAUUACAACAUGGUGAGUGCAUGUGCUUGUAUGGCACACUAGAACGUGUUCUCACCAUUGAUUAAUCGUCUCUGUAUUGUCAGCGCUUGAUCCAGAGAGGCUGUACUGCGCGUUUACAAGUGUAAGUUUCCCUUUGUUAUAGAGUUCACUCUUUUUUGUUUAUCCGGAAAAUACUUAAUCUAAAAUAUCAUAGAUCUGGACUACGGUUUUAUUGAGGUUUCAAACCUCUAUUAAAAAAAAAAAGGAGGUUGUGGUUUGUUUUGUGUUGAAGAAAUAAAGAGUUUGAACAAUGCU